CACCAACAUACCCUACAUCAUCAUGGCGCUGGGUGUGUUCUUUGGUUUGGUUUUUACCUGGCUUGCAUGCAAAGGACAGGGAUCCAUGGAUGAGGGAACAGCGGAUGAAAGAGCACCCCUCAUUCGAACCUAAACAUUGCCUUUGCUUGGUGAAGAAACUGUGUGAGCUGUCCUGACCUGGACGAUGACGUGGGGAAACCCUCCACCUCCUUGCAGGCUUGUUGCCUGUUGAAAGAAGGAAAAAGACACGGCGCUGGCAAGUGAUAGGAACAUUCUGGCCAGAGGUUAAAGAGCAGGCUGACAUGGCUGGCCAUUAAGCUUUAUAAAAUCAUGUGGGCUCUGAAAUUGUUCUUUUAUGUGUCUAGCAAGUAUUUAAUAAACCCUUGUAUAGUAAUUUUGUUGUUGUUGGGUGCUGGUAGCUCCAGAAUUUUGUGACCACUAUUGUGGGUAAAAUGUCUCUGCAUCACUUGUUAAUGCUACUGGUCUAACUUCAUUCAGUAUGCUUCAUUCACCGAACUUUGUGCUCAAAAUGCGUAUAUACCAUUUUAUGUUGUAUUCCUCCAUUUCACUUGCAAAACAGAAGUAAAUAAGAGUUCGGGACCCAGGGUAAAAUGGUAGCUUCAUCCAAUAUAUCAUUCAAAUGCAUCUGAUUUCUAAAACAUAUUACAUUUUAUGCUGAUCUUCAGUUCAUAAUUCUUCCAGGAAAACUCAGUCUUCCAACUGCAAUAAAAUACUGGGUAGAAUCAAAUGGGAAAGGGGUUGGGUGGGGCAAUACCCAUGAGUUGAUAGUGAUAAGCUCCUAAGGAUUUUUAACUUGUACUUUUGUGAACGAAGAGAAUGCAUAAAUAAUGUUGGUGAGGAUAAAGUACAGAUAUUUCAUGUAGAAUUAAUUGCUAGUUAUGAUGCUUGUGGAUAGUUAACUGUUUUUUUUUUAGUCAAAAUGAUCAUGCUACGAAAAGAUGCUUCUGAGAGAAUGUAAUGAGUAACUGAUUUUUCUUCCUGAGUCGCCCUUGCCAAAUAUGUUACUGUAUUAAUUAAUCUAAUAUUGAGUGAUUAUUUGUAAAAUUAUGAAUAUGGGAAAUCCAUCUAUCUACAGCCUAAGUUACACAUAAGUUUCAGAAAGUCUGAUUAGACUAAAGAGAUAUUUCUUCUGGGACAGCCGCCUUCUUGGUAAUUUUGAAGUUCUUUUUACAAGUUCCUUCCUCAGUUUCAGUUCUUUCCAGUGUUUUGUAGCUCACUGUCACUCACUGAAUAGAGAAACGUGUGCCCUAUACUUCCUGUGACAAUCAUUUUGCUGACAGAAUGAUGGAUGUUUAAAAUAUUGCACAAAGUACUUUAAAGAAAGGUCUGUUAGGACCAGAAGCAGAGACACCACUUUUCAAAGGACUUCUUGGUUUCAGCAUAACCUAAGACAGGGAAUUGGGAGCCAUCAUAUGUCACAGUGUUCAGAAUUCAAGCAUAUUUAAGGGCAUUUUCUUUGAUUCUCAAAGUUCAGCAUUCAUUUUGAAUUGAGAAGCCUAUACAUUUAGCUGACAAAGUGCUUAUAGAAUUUCUUAACAACUGAACCAUUCAAAAGGAUUUUUUUUGUUUAAAACUGGAUUUCAAUGUAAG
rnacentral:lncRNA from 1 species